ACAGGGCAAGUAUUAUGUCUCGCCUGCUGAGUGCUCUUUUUCGGCCGCGCUAUCCUCUCCUCCCGAAGGUACAAAAAUCACUUGCACACUUGACCCCUGCUUGCAUACCCGUAAUAACGACCAACCGACUGCCUCCUCUUUUCCAUCAGUCAAAUUGAUAUUCCCCCGAAGAAACAAAAAUACCCCUAUAUCACAAAAAAGCCUAUGGCUAGAGAAGAUC
rnacentral:rRNA from 1 species